rnacentral:pre_miRNA from 1 species
GGCCUCCCUCUUUGGGGUGAUCGAUCGCGGGGCUCCGCGACUGAUUGCCCCAAAGGGGUAGGCC